CUUAAGAACCUAAGACAAAGGACCUCCAUCCUAUAUCCUUAGGAAUUCUCUGGGGUCUGCUAGAGUUACAAAAAUGUACAUAUUAUGAAACAAUUUGGUUUCUAUAAAGUACAGAGCUCAAAGUUUUUUCUUUGAAAAUGGAGUCAUCCCAAAGAUAAGUCUGUAAGAUAUUUCUUUAGCUUUUGUUGCAAUGUGUCUGUUAUGAAGGUUAGUAAAAGUGUCUUUAAAAUCUGUUAUAUUUAAAUCUUUUCCCCAUUUAAUCCUAAUAGCUAAAUUUUCUUGUAACUGUUUUUUUAAUGUUGUGUAUAUUUCUUUAUAUUUAUUGUGUAUUAAAGGUUCAUUGCCAGAAAGAGUUCUUGAGAUGAAUCUGUAAAAGGGAUGUAAGUUUGUGCCAAAAUAGUGUGGAGUGUUGUUUUGUAUUGGAAUUAAAUUGCUUAAUCUCAAACCAUAAUAGUAUAUUGUAAGGGGGAAAUCAUUUGGAUUCUUAACUACUUGACCUAUGAAUUUUAAUCUGAGUGCACAUAUUUUAGUUUUGAUGUCUUGUAAAUUGAUCCCCCCA